rnacentral:rRNA from 1 species
UACGUAGGGAGCAAGCGUUGUUCGGAUUUACUGGGCGUAAAGGGCGCGUAGGCGGCAAUUCAAGUCAGCUGUGAAAUCUCCGGGCUUAACUCGGAACGGUCAGCUGAUACUGCUUUGCUAGAGUGCGGAAGGGGCAAUCGGAAUUCUCGGUGUAGCGGUGAAAUGCGUAGAUAUCGAGAGGAACACCUGCGGCGAAGGCGGGUUGCUGGGCUGACACUGACGCUGAAGCGCGAAAGCUAGGGGAGCGAACGGG